AUGACCAGGGAUAACCUUAGGAAAAGGCACAUCAUCAAACCCUUGGACUGUGUGUUCUGUGCUGAGAAUGAAACCAGCCUCCAUUUGUUUUUUGAAUGUGUAGUAGCUAAGAACAUUUGGCCUUUCAUUGGAGAUUUCUUCAAAAUUCAGAUAGGCAUGAACUUUGAGUCUGUUGCACGGCUUUGGGUUACUAAUAAGAAGAAGAAUUCGGCUUUGAAUAUUGUUACUUCUGCAGUCCUAUGGUGUUUGUGGAAAUAUAGAAACUCUAUAAUUUUUAACAACACCAUUUGGACUUCCAUUUUUCAGGUUUGGGGCUUGUUGAUCAGAAUGCUCAAAUUCUGGUCUAUCCUAUCGCCGGAAGCGGAGAGAGCAAAACUGGAGAGUUUCCUGAGCUCACCGACAAGUUUGGCUCGGCAACCUCUGAGAAUCCGGAGUGGCCGAUGGAGAAAGAUGAUGUUGGAGCGCGCUGGAGCAAGCUCAAAAUCACGGAGGAGGAUGCCAGUUUCCAAUCCCCUUCCAAGAAAAGGGAUCCGUCGAGCAAAAACACCAUGUGCAGCCCUAUGUCGACACUCACGCCAUGCUAGUCACCACAAGCUGCCCUGGCGCCACCCUUCAAAUUUAGGAAAUUGGGAAACCCUGGACAGGACGCGAUGA
rnacentral:rRNA from 1 species